AGCGAACGCUGGCGGCAGGCCUAACACAUGCAAGUCGAACGAACCUUUCGGGGUUAGUGGCGGACGGGUGAGUAACACGUGGGAACGUGCCUUUAGGUUCGGAAUAACUCAGGGAAACUUGUGCUAAUACCGAAUGUGCCCUUCGGGGGAAAGAUUUAUCGCCUUUAGAGCGGCCCGCGUCUGAUUAGCUAGUUGGUUGAGGUAAUGGCUCACCAAGGCGACGAUCAGUAGCUGGUCUGAGAGGAUGAUCAGCCACAUUGGGACUGAGACACGGCCCAAACUCUUGCGGAGGGCAGCAGGGGGGAAUCAGCCGCAAAGGGCGAAUGAUGAAGGCCGCCAGGCCGGGAGAAUGAUGAGGGGCGUAGGAUAAGAAAAUUCUUUAACCGGGGACGUUAUGGCGGUAACCCGGGAAAAAAGCCCGGCCAACUUCGGG
rnacentral:rRNA from 1 species